AUUGAACGCUGGCGGCAGGCCUAACACAUGCAAGUCGAGCGAGCGGCGGACGGGUGAGUAAUGUCUGGGAAACUGCCUGAUGGAGGGGGAUAACUACUGGAAACGGUAGCUAAUACCGCAUACCAUCAGAUUUGCCCAGAUGGGAUUAGCUAGUAUGUGGGGUAACGGCUCACCUAGGCGACGGUCCCUAGCUGGUCUGAGAGGAGAACAAGCCACACUGGAACUGAGGAACGGUCCACACUCCUACGAGAGGCAGCAGUGGGGAAUAUUGCACAAUGGGUGCAAGCCUGAUGCAGCCAUGCCGCGUGUGUGAAGAAGGCCUUAGGGUUGUAAAGCACUUUCAGCGGGGAGGCGUUACCCGCAGAAGAAGCACCGGCUAACUCCGUGCCAGCAGCCGCGGUAAUUC
rnacentral:rRNA from 1 species